rnacentral:rRNA from 1 species
GUGAUCUGUCUGCUUAAUUGCGUUUCACUAAGGGCCCAUAAAUUCAAGGUAUGUUAGCUAUCGUCGCUCUAUGGACCCCUUAUUCACUGCUUUAAUUAGUUUGUUUAAGCGCGCGUCUUUAUUUAAUGAGUUUAAGACACUGCGCAUGCUGUUGGGCUCUGAAAGCAACGAACGUGACCGCAACGUCUUGUUGCCUUAAUAAAGUUGGCUUUAAAUACGAAAUUCGUAUUUAAACCGCUUACAGAGGCUAUUUAAAACUAGACGGACCGCUGUUUCUUUUCUUAAACCAGAGGAAGGUUGCGGCAAUAACAGGUCUGUGAUGCCCUUAGAUGUUCCGGGCUGCACACGUGCUACAAUGAUCAGUACAGUGAGCAUCUCAAUAUAAUACACCGUCUUUAGCGCUUAGACGCGAUUAAUGGAUCGUUUUUUAUUAAGCGAGUCGUUUAAUCGAUGUUUUCUAAUGUGCGCGGUAAAGCCUGCUUCGAGAGUAAGCGGGUAAUCCAUUGGAAGUAAUGAUUUCUCUAUAUCUAGUGCACAACUAUGCACGGCACUCAUUCCCGAGACGGCUAGUUUCGUCUUUUAGUGUGAAUGUAGUGUUAUUCAAACGUGCGUGCAAUUGUCAAUUCAUGGUGGGGACAGACCAUUGUUAACUGUUGGUCUCGGUCUUAACUAGGAAUGCCUUGUACGGGUCUUUGGUUCAACAAACCACCCGGAAUACGUCCCUGCCCUUUGUACACACCGCCCGUCGCUCUUACCGAUGGACUUUUUUGUGAGUCUAAGGGACUGGGUUAAACCACUCGCUUUAUUAAGCGGAUGGCAGUACCUAUGGAAACUUAUGCGAACAAAGUGGUCUAAAGGAAAGAGAAGUCGUAACAAGGC